rnacentral:rRNA from 1 species
GACGAACGCUGGCGGCGUGCCUAAUACAUGCAAGUAGAACGCUGAAGGAGGAGCUUGCUUCUCUGGAUGAGUUGCGAACGGGUGAGUAACGCGUAGGUAACCUGCCUGGUAGCGGGGGAUAACUAUUGGAAACGAUAGCUAAUACCGCAUAAUAGUAGAUGUUGCAUGACAUUUGCUUAAAAGGUGCAAUUGCAUCACUACCAGAUGGACCUGCGUUGUAUUAGCUAGUUGGUGGGGUAACGGCUCACCAAGGCGACGAUACAUAGCCGACCUGAGAGGGGGAUCGGCCACACUGGGACUGAGACACGGCCCAGACUCCUACGGGAGGCAGCAGUAGGGAAUCUUCGGCAAUGGACGGAAGUCUGACCGAGCAACGCCGCGUGAGUGAAGAAGGUUUUCGGAUCGUAAAGCUCUGUUGUAAGAGAAGAACGAGUGUGAGAGUGGAAAGUUCACACUGUGACGGUAUCUGACCAGAAAGAGACGGCUAACUACGUG